AAACCCUCACCCUCGUGAUGUCAAAGUCACGUCCGGUGGACUUGGAUAGUGCCGUAAUGGGCUCAUCCUGAAAUGCAUUAGCUUGCGCCGUUUAGAGUGCAUGGCACGGUGUGAUAAUUAUCUGCGUCGUUGCCUGGGCCUCUUGAGUUGUGCGCUGCUUACAGCACGUCCGUCUGCGGACAACACAUUUUAAG
rnacentral:misc_RNA from 1 species